UUUAAGUUAACUUGUUCAUUGAUCUAUAUGGUAAUUAUUAAAUUAAUUUUGUUGUUCCAGUAGUAAAAAUUAAAUUUUAUUAUAAAUUUUGAAUUAGAAAUUGAAUAAUUAUUUAAAUUAGAUUAAUAUUUGUGCCAGCAUUCGCGGUUAUACAAUUUAUUUAAGUUAAUUUUAUUAUUUUUUAAUUUAAUUUUUUUAUUGGGUUUAAAUGUAAAAUUUAUUUAGGUGGAAUUUAUAAUUUGUUUUAAAAUCUAUAUAUAAAUUUACUUAAGAUAAUUUUACUGAUAGACUAGGAUUAGAUACCCUAUUAUUUUUAUUGUAAAUUUUUAGAAUGGUAUAAGUUAUGAUCUUUCAAGCUCAAAGAAUUUGGCGGUAAAAUAUCUAUUUAGAGGAAUCUGUAUGUUAAUUGAUAUUCCACAAUAGUUUGUACCUUUUAAUUUAUUUGUAUAUCGCUAUACAUAUAGAUUGUUAUUUAAAUAAACUUUCUUUAAUUGAUUUAAUUUUAUAUUAGGUCAAGGUGCAGUUUUUAAAGGGUUAAUAUGGAUUACUUUUGUUAUAAGUUUUAGGAUUUUAAUUUUAUUGAAAUUAAUUUGAAUAAGGAUUUAAUAGUAAGUUGAAUUAAUUUAUUUCUCUGAAUAUUGGUUAUGUUUUAUGUACAUAUCGCCCGUCACUCCUAAUUAAGUUAGGAUAAGUCGUAACAAAGUAAUUUUACCGGAAGGUGAGGUUAGAAAAAUA
rnacentral:ncRNA from 1 species